rnacentral:rRNA from 1 species
GACAGAGGGUGCAAACGUUGUUCGGAAUUACGUGGGCGUAAAGCGAGUGUAGGCGGUCUGUAAAGUCGGGUGUGAAAGCCCCGGGCUCAACCCGGGAAGUGGCACUCGAUACUCACAGCUAGAGUAUCGGAGAGGUUGGUGGAAUUCUCGGUGUAGAGGUGAAAUUCGUAGAUAUCGAGAGGAACACCGGUGGCGAAAGGCGG